CUUCAGAUAGGUCAUGUCAACAGCAGUCACCGUUUAGAGUGACAACAGAAAUCAUACAAACAAACAGAAAAAACAAAAGAAACAUGGUAAGUGCAACCGGAGAGUUUAAACAACCCUGUUAGGGUAAAGUACAAGCCUGUCUCUGCAGGCAUCUAGGAGAGUUCAGGUAGUGCAUCUACAUAGGCGGCUGGAGUUACUCCCCGAGGUAUAAACUGAAUCACUGCUGCU